AUGGCGGGCAUCGGGGUUGAACUGUGGCUGCUCGCGUACUCCGGCGCGGGUGGAACCAGCAGCGAGGAGGAGAAGGGAGCAGGGGCGCGCGACUGGAGGAGGUCGCUCAGGCAAGGCAGCAACUUCAGUGGGUCCGAUGGUGGACUUGGAGCUCCGGACGGUGAGGGACUUGAGGCCAUGGGGGUCCAGGUGGCACGGUCGUUGGUGGCGACAGCGGAGGCGCUGGCCUGCUUCAGCGGAGCGAGAACGAUGGGCAUCGGGUGA
rnacentral:rRNA from 1 species